rnacentral:lncRNA from 1 species
AGUUCGGUAAAUAGCGCUGGUUCGAAAAUACCUGGACAUGAAAGCUAAUUGUUUUGCAUUGCUCCUCCUUGUGGCUGCAGUUGUCUCAUAUUCCAUGGCACGUCCUCAAAUCAAUGGUACUGUGCCACUUUCGGCAAGGAUUUUGGACGACCAGCACUGGUGUUACGGGUUGCGUUGCAGUUAUCAAGACGAUCCGAGUUGCGGUCCUAUGUGCACAUGUGUCAGCACCACCAACAACAGAGGCUUUAUGUGUGUUAACGUACCUGGUGUCAGUGGGCGGCGCUGAGGUUGUAAAACCCUUCCAACACAGCAAUAAAGUGCUAACUUGGGCCA